rnacentral:rRNA from 1 species
AAUUCUAGGUAGAAUUAUGAUAAUGACAUUAUCUGCCUACAUGUCUUGACCAAAUUACGUGCCAGCAGUCGCGGUAAUACGUAGAAGACUAGUGUUAUUCAUCUUUAAUAGGUUUAAAGGGUACCUAGACAGUAAAUCAAGCCUGCGAGGGGACUAGUUUACUAGAGUUACUUGUGAGGGGGUAUUAAAGUACUAAUGGUGUAGAGAUGAAAUUCUGUCAUACCUCUUUUCGGAAGAAAAAUUAUGGCACAGGUAUAGGCGAAAGCAUCCCCUUAUGUGAUAACUGACGUUGAAGGACGAAGGCUUUGUGUCGCGAACAGGAUUAGAUACCCCAGUAGUCAAAGCAGAAAAUGAUGAAUGUCAUAGAUUAGACAUAUAAUAGUUUAUUCUAUAAAUGAAAGUGUAAGCAUUCCACCUCAAGAGUAAUUUGGCAACAUUGGAACUGAAAUCAUUAGACCGUUUCUGAAACCAGUAGUGAAGUAUGUUGUUUAAUUUGAUAAUCCGCAAAAAACCUUACCACAACUUGAAUAUUUAUGUUUACUUUUUUAUAAAAAGAGAUAUAUUUACAAGCGUUGCACGGCUGUCUUCAGUUAAUGUCGUGAGAUUUUGGUUAGUUCCAUUAAAUUAACGUAAACCCUUGCUUUAUUUUUAUAUAAAGUAGU